rnacentral:rRNA from 1 species
AGGAUCAUUACCGAGUGCGGGCCCUCUGGGUCCAACCUCCCAUCCGUGUCUAUCUGUACCCUGUUGCUUCGGCGUGGCCACGGCCCGCCGGAGACUAACAUUUGAACGCUGUCUGAAGUUUGCAGUCUGAGUUUUUAGUUAAACAAUCGUUAAAACUUUCAACAACGGAUCUCUUGGUUCCGGCAUCGAUGAAGAACGCAGCGAAAUGCGAUAAUUAAUGUGAAUUGCAGAAUUCAGUGAAUCAUCGAGUCUUUGAACGCACAUUGCGCCCCCUGGUAUUCCGGGGGGCAUGCCUGUCCGAGCGUCAUUGCUGCCCUCAAGCACGGCUUGUGUGUUGGGCUUCCGUCCCUGGCAACGGGGACGGGCCCAAAAGGCAGUGGCGGCACCAUGUCUGGUCCUCGAGCGUAUGGGGCUUUGUCACCCGCUCCCGUAGGUCCAGCUGGCAGCUAGCCUCGCAACCAAUCUUUUUAACCAGGUUGACCUCGGAUCAGGUAGGGAUACCCGCUGAACUUAAGCAUAUCAAUAAGCGGAGGAAAAG